rnacentral:rRNA from 1 species
GAUAAACGUUGGCGGCGUGCCUAACGCAUGCAAGUCGCACGAGGGCUACGGCCCUAGUGGCGGACGGGUGAGUAACACGUACGAAUCUGCCCGGAAGUGGGGGACAACUUCCCGAAAGGGAAGCUAAUACCGCAUGUGGUCCACGGACCAAAGCCGAAAGGCGCUUCUGGAGGAGCGUGCGGCGGAUUAGCUAGUUGGUGAGGUAAAGGCUCACCAAGGCAACGAUCAGUAGCUGGUCUGAGAGGACGAU